rnacentral:piRNA from 1 species
UGGUCAAUUUCUGCCCAUGCUGCAGUU